rnacentral:rRNA from 1 species
AACGAACGCUGGCGGCAUGCCUAACACAUGCAAGUCGAACGAAGCCUUCGGGCUUAGUGGCGCACGGGUGCGUAACGCGUGGGAAUCUGCCCUUUGGUUCGGAAUAACAGUUGGAAACGACUGCUAAUACCGGCUGAUGACUAAAGUCCAAAGAUUUAUCGCCAGAAGAUGAGCCCGCGUAGGAUUAGCUAGGUGGUGUGGUAAAGGCGCACCAAGGCGACGAUCCUUAGCUGGUCUGAGAGGAUGAUCAGCCACACUGGGACUGAGACACGGCCCAGACGCCUACGGGAGGCAGCGGUGGAGAAUAUUGGACAAUGGGAGAAAGCCUGAUCCAGCAAUGCCGCGUGAGUGAUGAAGGCCCUAGGGUUGUAAAGCUCUUUUACCCGGGAUGAUAAUGACAGUACCGGGAGAAUAAGCCCCGGCUAACUCCGUGCCAGCAGCCGCAGUAA